AGAAGGGGAAAAGCUGCAAGUCCCGCAGGCGGGACGCGAAGGGAGGCUGGGGCAGGCGGCCGGAGGUGCGGGACUCCCUUGCUCCUAGCGGGCGGGAGAGAGGUAACGGUGAAAGUCCGACCCCGGCUCCCUGGGUGGGGAAAGGAAAACAAGAGGCCGGGAUUGCCUCAUGCGGGCACCUCAGAGGAGCAGAAUCGAGAAGAGCUUAUGUUUGUGUCCGGAGGAGAGGAGCUGGGGGCGGAGGAGGAGAGUGGGGCACGCACGACCCAAAGUUUGUGUCGCAGGACCAGAUGAAAAUAAAGCGGGGCUGCCGCCGGCUCUUCUAAUACGACAUCUCUACCGUGCUUUAAACAUUCAAAUCCAAAAGCAAACCCCGAGCCGCUCACUGGAAUAGGGAAGUAUCAGCUAUCUGGAAGCACGCUUAUUGGAAAAGAGGAAAGCUUUCUCUGCUUGCAGAAAGCGUGAUUAGGGGAUUAAAAACGUGAGUGUUUUGAUGCUGUUGUUUUCCUCUUAUUUUCUCCUGUGGUCUGCAAGUAAAGAAGCUCUUCUUUUCCCCCACAGGGUGGAUGCUGAAAGUCUCUAACCAAACAUCUCAGUAACGUGGAUGGUGUAAUUAUCGUGUUGUUAAGCACUUCCUUAUUGACGUGCACCACACUUAGGGUCUGAUCUCCGAGAUGUAUGUCAAAGCAGUUUCUCAGUUUCUGACAUUUAGAGAGCCUGUCCUGCAGGAUUUUCUGUACUGCCAGAGUAUCGCCGGGUAGGAUGCCCUCCUUGGCCAGAAGCCAGUGGCUGAACGAAGUCAAGUGAAUAAAACAAGUGAAAAGUAGUCUUUGCAAAACGAGGGCGAAAUGCGUGUACAGGGAUCAUCUAGAAAAGAUGAAAACCCGAGUUUUAUAGCUCCAAAUCAUUACACUCUCGUCAGCAGAACACCAUCAUUAUUCAUGAGCAAAAGGAGCAAAAUCCUGCUCAUAUAGCUAUUAUUGUUAUGACAAGGACCAAUAACAUCUUUGUUACAAAAACAGUGUUUGUUAUGAAGAAAUUGGGUGAGCAGCCAUCCAGAUAAACAUCCCCUGUGCCUAACAA